CAACAUUACUUAUUUAAGCUUUAUCAAUUGUCUUCUUCAUUACUUCAAAAACUACCAACGCAUUCUUUACUCAACAUAUUCACUAGAUCUUGCUCAACAGAUAUGGAAGCAAAAAUGAUUUUUAUUCUUUUUUGUGUCUUCGGACUGAUGGCAGGGACACCGUUGAACAUAUAUAUUCAAGCAGAA